rnacentral:rRNA from 1 species
UUUAACAUGAGAGUUUGAUCCUGGCUCAGGAUGAACGCUGGCGGCGUGCUUAACACAUGCAAGUCGAACGAAGCACUUUAUUUGAUUUCCUUCGGGACUGAUUAUUUU